CCUACGGGAGGCAGCAGUGGGGAAUAUUGGACAAUGGGGGGAACCCUGAUCCAGCGACGCCGCGUGAGUGAAGAAGUAUUUCGGUAUGUAAAGCCCUAUCAGCAGGGAAGAAAGAAAUGACGGUACCUGACUAAGAAGCCCCGGCUAACUACGUGCCAGCAGCCGCGGUAAUACGGAGGGGGCAAGCGUUAUCCGGAUUUACUGGGUGUAAAGGGAGCGUAGACGGCGAUGCAAGUCUGAAGUGAAAGGCGGGGGCCCAACCCCCGGACUGCUUUGGAAACUGUAUGGCUGGAGUGCAGGAGAGGUAAGUGGAAUUCCUGGUGUAGCAGUGAAAUGCGUAGAUAUUAGGAGGAACACCAGUGGCGAAGGCGGCUUACUGGACUGUAACUGACGUUGAGGCACGAAGGCGUGGGGAGCAAACGGGAUUAGAUACCCGAGUAGUC
rnacentral:rRNA from 1 species